rnacentral:misc_RNA from 1 species
AGGUGGUUUUCUGACGAUUUUUCUUAUCCAGUCAAGGCCAUUCGUUCUGUUCUACUGUGGUUUCCUCCCUGAUAUGCAGUUUUCUAGAUAAUUAUGCUGCUACAUAUAUUGCUCAAGCAAGCAGAGCUAAAACUUUAAAUGGACAAGUCAAGCAUUCCUACUAUUGAUCUCUCACCUUUCUUUAGAGAGGGUGACGAAGAUGGCAAGAAAAAGGCCAUGGAAACUAUCACCCAAGCUUGUACUGAGUAUGGUUUCUUCCAAAUUGAGAACCAUGGCGUUCCCCUUGAUUUAAUGAACCAAGCCCUCGAGCUCUCCAAGAAAUUUUUCGACUUUCCGGAUGAGGAGAAACGCAAGUCAAGUCCUAACUCAGGUGCACCCCUUCCUGCUGGUUAUAGUAGGCAGCCAGACCACUCACCAGACAAAAACGAAUAUGUAUUGGUGUUUCCACCAGGUUCUAGCUUCAAUUUCUACCCCACUAACCCUCAUGGAUUCAGGGAUGUGCUGGAAGAGAUCUUCUCUUACUUAGUCAAGACAGGCUUUCUCAUUGAAAGCAUUUUAAAUGUGUGUCUGGGUCUCUCUCCCAACUUCCUUAAAGAAUUCAACCAUGAUAGGAGCUGGGAUUUCAUGGCAGCUCUGCGUUAUUUUCCAGCAACCGAAAAUGAAAACAAUGGAAUAACAGAACAUGAAGAUGGAAACUGUUUCACUUUUGUGUUCCAGGAUGAAGCUGGAGGAUUAGAAGUUCGCAAGAAUGGGGAAUGGAUUCCUGUAACUCCUAUAAAGCAUACUAUAGUGGUCAAUGUUAGUGAUGUUGUCCAGGUGUUGAGCAACAAGAAGUUCAAAAGUGCAACCCACAGGGUAGUGAGACCCAAAGGAAAAAGCAGAUACUCGUAUGCAUUCUUCUACAACUUGCAUGGAGACAAAUGGGUUGAACCAUUGCCUCGGUUUACUAAAGAGAUUGGAGAGGCACCCAAGUACAGAGGUUUCUUUUUCAAGGAGUAUCAGGAGCUGAGACUGAGAAACAAGACCCAUCCCCCUUCAAGACCUGAGGAUGUAAUCCACAUUACCCAUUAUGCAAUCAAUACCUAGCGAGACAUGAAUGUUUUGGUUGGUUUGCACUUGAGGAGAUUUUAUAUAUAUAAGCACUAAAUUGCAUGCAUAGAGGUGGAUUUCAUAUAUAUGAUUUGGUCCCUAGCUCCAAAUAAAACUACAAGGGACAAGCUAUGAGAGAGACGGUGGCAAAUAGCGUCUCCCAAAGAGCAAUAAAAAGUGAUGAGAAUCUUA